AUUGAACGCUGGCGGAAUGCUUUACGCAUGCAAGUCGAACGGCAGCACGGACUUCGGUCUGGUGGCGAGUGGCGAACGGGUGAGUAAUGUAUCGGAACGUGCCCAGUCGUGGGGAUAACGUAGUGAAAAUUACGCUAAUACCGCAUACGAUCUAUGGAUGAAAGCGGGGGAUCGCAAGACCUCGCGCGAUUGGAGCGGCCGAUAUCAGAUUAGGUAGUUGGUGGGGUAAAGGCCCACCAAGCCAACGAUCUGUAGCUGGUCUGAGAGGACGACCAGCCACACUGGAACUGAGACACGGUCCAGACUCCUACGGGAGGCAGCAGUGGGGAAUUUUGGACAAUGGACGCAAGUCUGAUCCAGCCAUUCCGCGUGCAGGAUGAAGGCCCUCGGGUUGUAAACUGCUUUUGUACGGAACGAAAAGGUCUCUCUUAAUACGGGGGGCUCAUGACGGUACCGUAAGAAUAAGCACCGGCUAACUACGUGCCAGCAGCCGCGGUAA
rnacentral:rRNA from 1 species